rnacentral:rRNA from 1 species
UGGGGAAUCUUGCACAAUGGGCGAAAGCCUGAUGCAGCAACGCCGCGUGCGGGAAGACAGCCCUAGGGUUGUAAACCGCUUUCAGCAGGGAAGAAACUGACGGUACCUGCAGAAGAAGAUGCGGCCAACUACGUGCCAGCAGCCGCGGUGACACGUAGGCAUCAAGCGUUAUCCGGAUUUAUUGGGCGUAAAGAGCUCGUAGGCGGUUCGGUAAGUCGGGUGUGAAAACUCUGGGCUCAACCCAGAGAGGCCACUCGAUACUGCUGUGACUAGAGUGCGGUAGGGGAGCGGGGAAUUCCUGGUGUAGCGGUGAAAUGCGCAGAUAUCAGGAGGAACACCAGUGGCGAAGGCGCCGCUCUGGGCCGUAACUGACGCUGAGGAGC